GGCGGGGUCUAACAUAAAUAUUUUGUGAGAUCUCAAACCCUCCCCUAUACCUCUAGCUUAUGUAGAAAAAAACAAGCACACAGCAAUAUGCACAGCAAAACUCAGUUCAAAAGACGUUUGAGUCAAUUGUCGGAAUAAGUUACAAAAGAAACCAAUAACUACAUGUAUAUAACUUAAGAUGAUGCAAACCAAGUGUGAUCUCAAUUGGAUCAUUGAUG
rnacentral:lncRNA from 1 species